AGAGUUUGAUCCUGGCUCAGGACGAACGCUGGCGGCGUGCUUAACACAUGCAAGUCGAACGCUCCUGGAGGUUGGGAGUUAGAGGUUAGAAGUUAGAUUAAGAAGGAAUUCGCCGAAGGCGAAUUCUCACACAAUCUAACAUCUAAUUUCCAACUUCCAACCUCUAAGGGGAGUGGCGGACGGGUGAGUAACGCGUGGGCAAUCUGCCCGUAAGAGGGGGAUAACAUCGGGAAACCGGUGCUAAUACCGCAUAAUAUCUGUAUACCGCAUGGUAGGCAGAUGAAAGGAGCGUUUGCUCCGCCGAGGGAUGAGCCCGCGGCCCAUCAGGUAGUUGGUGGGGUAAUGGCCCACCAAGCCUACGACGGGUAGCCGGCCUGAGAGGGUGGUCGGCCACAAGGGCACUGAGACACGGGCCCUACUCCUACGGGAGGCAGCAGUGGGGAAUCUUGGACAAUGGGCGAAAGCCUGAUCCAGCGACGCCGCGUGGGGGAUGAAGCCCUUCGGGGUGUAAACCCCUGUUGCGAGGGAGGAAUAAGGCCUGGAGGAAAUGCCAGGCCGAUGACUGUACCUCGCGAGGAAGCCCCGGCUAACUACGUGCCAGCAGCCGCGGUAAUACGUAGGGGGCGAGCGUUACCCGGAUUCACUGGGCGUAAAGCGGGUGUAGGCGGCUCGGUAAGUCGGGUGUGAAAUCCCACAGCUCAACUGUGGAAUUGCGCCCGAAACUGCUGAGCUUGGGGCCGGUAGAGGGAGACGGAACUGCCGGUGUAGGGGUGAAAUCCGUAGAUAUCGGCAGGAACGCCGGUGGGGAAGCCGGUCUCCUGGGCCGCGCCCGACGCUGAGACCCGAAAGCUAGGGGAGCAAACCGGAUUAGAUACCCGGGUAGUCCUAGCCGUAAACGAUGCCCACUAGGUGUGGGGGAUUAAUUCCUCCGUGCUGUAGCUAACGCGUUAAGUGGGCCGCCUGGGGAGUACGCCCGCAAGGGUGAAACUCAAAGGAAUUGACGGGG
rnacentral:rRNA from 1 species